rnacentral:tRNA from 1 species
GCCCGGGUGGCGGAAUUGGUAGACGCACCGGUCUCAGGAGCCGGUGAGCUUACGCUCGUGUGGGUUCAAGUCCCGCCCCGGGUA